rnacentral:rRNA from 1 species
UUGAACGCUGGCGGCAUGCCUUACACAUGCAAGUCGAACGGCAGCACGGACUUCGGUCUGGUGGCGAGUGGCGAACGGGUGAGUAAUACAUCGGAACGUGCCUAGUAGUGGGGGAUAACUACUCGAAAGAGUGGCUAAUACCGCAUGAGAUCUACGGAUGAAAGCAGGGGAUCGUAAGACCUUGUGCUACUAGAGCGGCCGAUGGCAGAUUAGGUAGUUGGUGGGAUAAAAGCUUACCAAGCCAACGAUCUGUAGCUGGUCUGAGAGGACGAUCAGCCACACUGGGACUGAGACACGGCCCAGACUCCUACGGGAGGCAGCAGUGGGGAAUUUUGGACAAUGGGCGAAAGCCUGAUCCAGCAAUGCCGCGUGCAGGAUGAAGGCCUUCGGGUUGUAAACUGCUUUUGUACGGAACGAAAAGCUUCGGGUUAAUACCCUGGAGUCAUGACGGUACCGUAAGAAUAAGCACCGGCUAACUACGUGCCAGCAGCCGCGGUAAUACGUAGGGUGCAAGCGUUAAUCGGAAUUACUGGGCGUAAAGCGUGCGCAGGCGGUUUUGUAAGACAGAGGUGAAAUCCCCGGGCUCAACCUGGGAACUGCCUUUGUGACUGCAAGGCUAGAGUACGGCAGAGGGGGAUGGAAUUCCGCGUGUAGCAGUGAAAUGCGUAGAUAUGCGGAGGAACACCGAUGGCGAAGGCAAUCCCCUGGGCCUGUACUGACGCUCAUGCACGAAAGCGUGGGGAGCAAACAGGAUUAGAUACCCUGGUAGUCCACGCCGUAAACGAUGACUACUAGGUGUCGGGGAGCAAAGCUCUUCGGUGCCGCAGCAAACGCAAUAAGUAAUCCACCUGGGGAGUACGACCGCAAGGUUGAAACUCAAAGGAAUUGACGGGGGCCCGCACAAGCAGUGGAGUAUGUGGAUUAAUUCGAAGCAACGCGAAGAACCUUACCAGGUCUUGACAUCCACUUAAACUUACAGAGAUGUAAGGUGUGCUUGCACAAAGUGAGACAGGUGGUGCAUGGUUGUCGUCAGCUCGUGUCGUGAGAUGUUGGGUUAAGUCCCGCAACGAGCGCAACCCUUGCCAUUAGUUGCUACGAAAGGGCACUCUAAUGGGACUGCCGGUGACAAACCGGAGGAAGGUGGGGAUGACGUCAAGUCCUCAUGGCCCUUAUAGGUGGGGCUACACACGUCAUACAAUGGCUGGUACAAAGGGUUGCCAACCCGCGAGGGGGAGCUAAUCCCAUAAAGCCAGUCGUAGUCCGGAUCGCAGUCUGCAACUCGACUGCGUGAAGUCGGAAUCGCUAGUAAUCGUGGAUCAGCAUGUCACGGUGAAUACGUUCCCGGGUCUUGUACACACCGCCCGUCACACCAUGGGAGCGGGUCUCGCCAGAAGUAGGUAGCCUAACCGCAAGGAGGGCGCUUACCACGGCGGGGUUCGUGACUGGGGUG